rnacentral:lncRNA from 1 species
AGGUGUACUAACUGCAACCCACACGGCAAGAAGGAACAAACAGCCAUCACUGAGGGCGGCUUCCCAUGGCAGCGACACCACCACUGACGGAGCACGCGCACAGAGGAGACCCGGGUCUGAGCCCAGCAGCAAGAGAAGCCCAAACAGAGACUCCGUGAGUCAGGCAAGGGAAGCGUGCCUGUUCCUAUUUCAGAGAGGAGGAAAUGGAGGCUCCAAGGGUCUAGUUCACCUGUUCAAGGGGACACACAAGAUAAUGAAAUAGCUGGUGAGAAAAACUUCAAGAAUCCCAGCAAGAUUGUCAGUCUCAGUGAAGCCUUUCUGCAAAACCAAGACCUGAGCUCAAGGAAGCUGCUAUUUAAAACCAGACGUGAGAGUCAAAGACAAUUAUCCAUUGAACAAGUACUUCAAAAUGGCACUAGGCAAGUUUUACUUCAUUGAAGUAUCACAAUCACUUCACGAAAUGUGUAAUGUUAUUUCCAUUCUACAGCUGGGUAAAGGCUUGAGGAUGUCACAUAGCUUGCCUGAAGUUCAAGUACAAGCAAAUGGAAAAGCCAGGGUUGGAAUCAAG